GUUCUAACAUAAUCUCCCAAAGUUCCCCCAAAGGGAUUCCGUUCCAGUUGCCCGCAGUGAUAAUUUGCUGGGUAAUGCAGCUUCUAUCAGCUUCCUCUCCUCCCAUGUCUCAUACUCACACUUCUUCACUGGGCUUUCUUGGAAUCACCUCCCAGAUUAGCUUAUAACAAUCGAAGCUUUGUCUCUGCCUACUUCUGAGGGGACCCAGAAAUAUAUUUCCCUAGGAACGUAGACCACAGUCACAUGAAUCAUAUUUGAUGGUCUAUUUCUUUAUGGCACGUGAGUUCUUACUUCGGGAAGAAUUAGAGCAAAGAGUGACGAGAACCAGCAGGAAGACAGAACAAAAAGCUAACAGAAUCAUAGAAGUGUUCAAACAACCAGCUAAAUUCAUUGCACAUAUUUCUCAACCACAGAAAUAUUUCAGGUGACUCUGUUUUUGACAAAACGUGGGAACCACAGGAUCUACAACACUUACAAGCAAAACUCAACAAGUCUAAUAAUAGUUACAGAAGUGAAAGCCAAUUUGGAUAAAAUAAGACAUUGACUCAAGUCCUCUGAGAGAAGAUUUUUGAAAACAAAGUUUACAAAAAUCUCAUUUUGCCUUUUGGGAAAUCACAGACCUUUUUGCACCUUGACUCUUUCUCUGGGUUUCUUUAUUACUGGGAGAAUUUUCUGCAGCAUUUCUUCUCCAUCUGACAUCAUGGAAUGUGAUACUUUCUUUUUUUCUUUUUUUAUCAUACAGUGAUUAAAAGGCUAUUGCAUGAUCUGUC
ensembl:lncRNA